rnacentral:rRNA from 1 species
AGCAGCCGCGGUAAUUCCAGCUCCAAUAGCGUAUAUUAAAGUUGUUGCAGUUAAAAGCUGUAGUUGAAUUUCGGGGUCAGUAGGUCGGUCGUGCCACUGGUAUGAACUGGUUUUACUGUUCCUCCCUCUUGAAGAACUGUAAUGCCAUUAAUUUGGUGUUGCAGGGAAUCAGGACUGUACUUUGAAAAAUUAGAGUGUUUAAAGCAGGCUUUAGCUUGAAU